UUAUCGCCUCAAGACAAGACAAUUGUUUGUGAGAGAGAAAACUCAAAUGAUAAGAUGUUGUGGUAAAUACUGAUAAUAUUUA
rnacentral:ncRNA from 1 species